rnacentral:rRNA from 1 species
AGAACGAACGCUGGCGGCGUGGAUAAGACAUGCAAGUCGGACGCGACUUAUCUUGUUAGCAAUAACGAGGUAAGUUGAGUGGCGAAAGGGUGCGUAACACGUGGGAAUUUACCAAGAAGUGGGGGAAUAGCUCGACGAAAGUCGAAUUAAUACCGCAUGUGAUCGUAAGAUCAAAGCCGGGGACCGCAAGGCCUGGCGCUUUUUGAGAAGCCCGCGGCCCAUCAGCUAGUUGGUGAGGUAAUGGCUCACCAAGGCUAUGACGGGUAGCUGGUCUGAGAGGACGACCAGCCACACUGGAACUGAGACACGGUCCAGACACCUACGGGUGGCAGCAGUCGAGUAAUUUUCAC